CCUACGGGUGGCAGCAGUGGGGAAUAUUGCGCAAUGGGCGAAAGUCUGACGCAGCGACGUCGCGUGAGGGAUGAAGGUCCUCGGAUUGUUAACCUCCGUUAGUAGGGAAGAACGGUCACUCUGGUAUUCAUCUUUGAAUUUACUUUAUGUGCAAGGGACGCACCGCCUAACCCCGUCCCAGCAGCCGCGGUAAUACGGAGGGGGCGAGCGUUAAUCGGUGUUAUUGGGCGUAAAGCGCACGUAGGCGGUAGGUCAAGUCAAGGGUGAAAUUGCCGGGCUCAACGUGAGAACUGCCUUUGAAACUGGCAGACUGGAGUGUAUGUGAGGAUGGUGGAAUUCCAGGUGUAGGAGUGAAAUCCGUAGAUAUCUGGAAGAACCUCGAUUGCGAAGGCAACUAGCUGGAGCGUAACUGACGCUGAAGCGCGAAAGCGUGGGUAGCGAACAGGAUUAGAUACCCGAGCAGUC
rnacentral:rRNA from 1 species